rnacentral:tRNA from 1 species
GAAGGGAUAGCUCAAUUGGAAGAGUACCGACCGACUCGUCGGGGGUAUGCAGGUUCGAGGCCUGCUCCCUUCA